AACGAACGCUGGCGGCGUGGAUAAGACAUGCAAGUCGAACGGGACUAAAUCUGUAGCAGUACAGGUUUAGUUUAGUGGCGAACGGGUGCGUAACACGUGGGCAAUCUGCCGAGAAGUGGGGGAUAGCUCGCCGAAAGGCGAAUUAAUACCGCAUAUGAUCAGCUAAGACAUCUUAGCGAAAUCAAAGCCGGGGCAACCUGGCGCUUCUUGAUGAGCCCGCGGCCAUCAGCUAGUUGGUGAGGUAACGGCUCACCAAGGCUAUGACGGGUAGCUGGUCUGAGAGGACGACCAGUCACACUGGAACUGAGACACGGUCCAGACACCGUACGGGUGGCAGCAGUCGAAGUAAUUUUUCUCAAGU
rnacentral:rRNA from 1 species